GAUCUAGUUAUUUUUAUUAUAUUUGGUAUAAUUAAUAAGAAUGUAAAAGGUGUGAAAUUUUUAUAAUGUGUUAAAUUUUGUUGGAUCCUUUGUUUAGUGGUUUCAUGAGAAGAGAUUCGUGCUCAUACGAUGCAAUGGAAAACGAACUAAAAAAAUUUCAUGUGUUUAUUUUUUUCCUUAGAAUUGGAGAAGCAAGCCUAGUGCUCCAAGAGAUUCUCAUAGUGACUCUGUAGCUAGGAUAAGAAACUCAAGUUCGUUCGCCUGCUCAUAACCCGAUUCAUACACUUUUAUUUGAAAAACUUUUCCAUAUUCUCAAACUCUUCAGGAGAUGCAGUUGAUAAUAUUAGUAGCAAAUUAAGAUUGAUUUACAGAUUCAUUUGACUUCACUAUAUGAAACUUCUUGUUACAGCAAACCAAAAAAUGCAAUAAAAUUUACUUUUCACAACGUUAUUUUAAUACGUACAUGAACUAUUUCCAUUGCCUUUAUAAACACAACCACAAAAGUACUACAACUUUUGCAAAGAUUCAUGAAACAGAUGAAUCUUCAUUUGCUAAUGAAUAUGUUUAACAUUGAUGUAGCAUUUCAAAAAAUUUAGUUAGAUGGAAAUCGGUGUGAAAGACUUUACCUUCUACACCACAUAAUCAAGGUUACUUGGUGUCCAUCAGUUAUAGCUCUAGCACCAUGGCAGAGAGAUUCAGUCAUCUGUUAAGUAAAGUAACUUCACUUCCAUAUCAUUCCUAGGGUCAUCUCCUACAUGAACCGCAUCCUCAGCUUUCACUCAUAGCAAUUCAUAAGCUUUCAAGUAGUUGGUUGUAAUUGGCUUAUCAACGGAAAAUCAAUGUAUAGACACAUACUCACUCCCUAAACGUUUCAAAUCAUCAACCAAAUCAUAAAAACAAAGGAGAAGACAUUAUGUUACUUCUUCUGAAACAGCCACAACAUCAAAUCAGUCUUCACAUCCCAAUGCUCGUAGGAGAGGUCAUACUAGUGUGUUGAAGUUGGACAUAAUGAAAACUUUUUCACCCGCUUCUUUAAUAACCUUGAACAAUUUCUCUGCCUCCGGAUCACAUAGCUUCCACGUCUGGUAAAACGGAUGGGAUAAAUAUUUAGAGAAAGAAACAAACUUUAAAGUGUGCCUCAAGCGUAUGAAAAAAUUGUAGGAAAGAUCAAAUCUCUUAUGCUAUUCAAAGUAUCGAGAAUUCGAGCAACCUGUUGAUGCACUCACAAAAUAUUGUUAGAAAGGUAUCGUAUCUUACGCAUAUCUAUAAAAAGUUAAUUUUAAACCUGAAAUUGUUGGUACAUAAUUAGUCUAAUCAAGAUACUCGCUGCACUAACACUAAACAUUAUGCAAUGUGGAAUUCAAACGAAUGAAAAACCACAAAAGAACAUUUCUCCUAUCGGCGAUUUUCUUGGAGUAUAAGAAAGAAAGAAUUACAUUGUAGGUCAGUUUAUGUAAGUUUAAUUACACAAUAGAACACUUUUGACUACUGGGGUAGUUUUACACACAAUCCCACACAUUUAACCAUAGUAAAACUCCAAAGUACCCUUUCCAUUUUUCUUCCUCUUUCAUCUUUUUGUCUGUGUAUGAUGAGAUGGCGUCUAGAAAUUUUAAAAUUUGAGAAAAUCGUUCGGAGUCAAUGGAAAAUAACACCGGCGAAUAAAUAAAUCAGUGAGGAGAAGCGACAUCGUCUUUGGUUUUACCUCUUCCUCUCUGUUGACGGCAGAGGAAUUGAGAAAUCAGUGAGGAGAAGCUAUAGGAUCUUUGGUUUUGUCUCUUCCUCUCUGUUGACGGUGGAAGAAUCGAGAAAUCAGUGAGGGCGUUGGGAUCACGAAGCUGAAUUGGGUGUAUAGUGGAUCGAAAGAUGAGACCUUUGGGAACUUGAUGACGGUGGCGGUAGGUGGCGGAGAUGACGGUGGGAGUAGCGACGAAAAUGGAAAUAUUGGUAACUGAGGCGGAGGAGAUGGAGGUGAUUAUGAAGAGGAUAAAGUUUAUAAAGCUGAGGAGAAUGAAUAUGAUACUAAAGUUCGACGAAGUUAUGAAAGACGGAACAUUCACAAUCAGAGGUUAUGUUGGAGGCGGCGAAGUUUGUGCUUUUCAGAAACAGAGAUGUUCUUAUAGUAACUUCAUGUAUCGAUAGGUUGUAGCAUUUUUUUGGGUUACUAGUUUACAAGUUUUAUGUUAAGAACUACGUUCGGUUACGAGGAACAUCCUUAUGGAUGGAUUCUACACAUAAUUAGCUCACAACACUUUUGCUUGGUUUCUAUAAGUCAAGACCAUCUAUAAGCUAUGAGUUAACUCAGUGAGUCUGUUUCAUGUUUCUUGUUGCAGUUUUGGCUAUUUAAUGAGUUUUUUCAUCGCCAUUAUGUGGCCAAAAGAUCAAUGAGCCACACUAUCACAUUUUUGCCAAUCAAGAACUCCCAAAGAGAUGAACCGCUGUUCUUCUUUGUUGCUGGAGGAUAUGUUGUAACUGUGUGAGUGAAGGGAGAUACAAAAAAACUUAAAAUCAUGGUUGAGAGAGAGUCCACACAGUCUGAAAAUGAGUUUAUAUAUAUAUAUAUAUGUUUUUGGUUAUGUCAAAUUUGUAGAAAUGAAUCUCGUGUAGAGGUGUACACAUGGAUAGUUUUUAGGAGGUGUAUACUUGGAUUAUAUUUAUGUGUACGUUUGUUGUAAUAUGUUGUACAUGUGGAUAGCAUUAUCAUGUAAAUUCAAUAACGAAGGAUAUGUGUCCAUGUUGAAAGUUCUUUGUUGUACAUAUAAAGCCAAUUUUGAAUGCAAGCAAUAUAAGUGGCACAAUGAAGUAAGAAUGUUGUAAAUUGAUGUAUAUAUAGAUUGUAAUCUGGUGUACAUGUUGGCUAAAAGUUCCUUGUUGUUCAUAUGAAACCAAUUUUGAACGCAAGCAAUAUCAGUAACAGAAAAUAUAAGGCACAUAAUGCAUAUGUUGAAAGUACUGAUAUAAGUAUGUUGUCCAGUCUACAAUCCCCACACAUAAAACAAUUUCAUCAUAAAACAAAGACGUUGAGAACAAAGCCACAUGUUACUUAUUAGAUUUAAGAGGUUCGACAGUUAACUAGAAAUUUACAACCCAGUCAUUCAGCUCCAAAACCACUUCAUAAUCACAAAACUCACUAUUAGUACAUCUCAGUUCGGAUAUACAACCAAAUCUUUAUACAUAGUGCAAAGAGUUUGACCAAUUUGCCCAUUGAUUAAGAAAAACUUAAGAAUGAGAAAGAAAAGAUAGUGACAGUCUUACCUGCUACGAAAGGCUGCGGAAACAACAUAAAUAAUCAUAUUAGCUUUGUCUCCACUAGAAACACUAGUUCCUCUAAAAUAAUGGCCUAGCCCAAGAAGGAAACAAGACAUAGUAUAAGAUGCACACUCUAAGAUUAGAACUUUUGGUACUUACAAACCUACAAACGACCAUUCGCUCCAUAAUUGCACAGAUCUAGAAAGUGCAAGGUUAUGUUGGCGUUGGGAUGAGAAACCCUGGUUCCGUCAGAGUUUGUUUUGAUCUCCUCUGAAGAUCAAAUGGCGGAGUUGAGCUGGUCCAUCGGAUAUCUCAUAUGCUCACAGAUCCGUGGAGACACCGACGAUUGAAGAGAUUAUGGUUCUCUUUUCAGCGAAAUUAAUGGGUUUGAGCAAAGGUAUGAGGCGGAUUGAGAGGAACUGCUGAAAUCAUGCCCGAAAUUUGACAAUGGCUUUGUCGGAACAGUUCGUCGGUGGAAAAAAAAUACUGUCGUCAUUGUUUUAGGAGUUUCUUGUUUAAACAAAGCAAAAAAUAAAUCAUUAUUUUCUUUCAUUAAAAGGAGGAUAGUGUUGUCUUUCCAACCCCAUAAACUACCUCAGUAGCAAAAAGUGUCUCACACUGUAAUAAAAAGUCAAAAACUGACUUUAAGUGUAAAUCACUCUAUAAGAAACACAUACGAUGGUACCUGAAA